CUCCGACGGAUCCGCCUCGCGCCUGGGCGAAAUAGGCGCUGCGCUGGCUCCUCGGCCGGGCCCGCGCACCCGACGGACGCCGAGCCGCGCACCGCCUCGACUUCGCCGUUCAGUUUGAAAUGCAAGGACAUGUGCUUCUUUUAAAGAUUUAUGUCUCUGUUGAUGUUGUUCCUCUAAUUCUUCAAGCUCUUGGCCUGCCUUUAGUCAAGUCGAGCUCAUUCUGAAGUCUCUCCUGGGAGUCCUGAAGACUAGCAAUGAGGCCUUCUGCAGAGCCAAGACCUUGUUCACUUUUCUUCACCAGAUCUUGGAGGCGGCCAAUCU